rnacentral:tRNA from 2 species
UGGGGGAUCGUUCAACGGUAGGACAACGGACUCUGACUCCGUGAAUCAAGGUUCGAAUCCUUGUCCCCCAGCCA